GGUGCUUGCACCUGAUUGAUUUUGGUCGCCAACGAGUGGCGGACGGGUGAGUAACACGUAGGUAACCUGCCCAGAAGCGGGGGACAACAUUUGGAAACAGAUGCUAAUACCGCAUAACAGCGUUGUUCGCAUGAACAACGCUUAAAAGAUGGCUUCUCGCUAUCACUUCUGGAUGGACCUGCGGUGCAUUAGCUUGUUGGUGGGGUAACGGCCUACCAAGGCGAUGAUGCAUAGCCGAGUUGAGAGACUGAUCGGCCACAAUGGGACUGAGACACGGCCCAUACUCCUACGGGAGGCAGCAGUAGGGAAUCUUCCACAAUGGGCGCAAGCCUGAUGGAGCAACACCGCGUGAGUGAAGAAGGGUUUCGGCUCGUAAAGCUCUGUUGUUAAAGAAGAACACGUAUGAGAGUAACUGUUCAUACGUUGACGGUAUUUAACCAGAAAGUCACGGCUAACUACGUGCCAGCAGCCGCGGUAAUACGUAGGUGGCAAGCGUUAUCCGGAUUUAUUGGGCGUAAAGAGAGUGCAGGCGGUUUUCUAAGUCUGAUGUGAAAGCCUUCGGCUUAACCGGAGAAGUGCAUCGGAAACUGGAUAACUUGAGUGCAGAAGAGGGUAGUGGAACUCCAUGUGUAGCGGUGGAAUGCGUAGAUAUAUGGAAGAACACCAGUGGCGAAGGCGGCUACCUGGUCUGCAACUGACGCUGAGACUCGAAAGCAUGGGUAGCGAACAGGAUUAGAUACCCUGGUAGUCCAUGCCGUAAACGAUGAGUGCUAGGUGUUGGAAGGGUUUCCGCCCUUCAGUGCCGGAGCUAACGCAUUAAGCACUCCGCCUGGGGAGUACGACCGCAAGGUUGAAACUCAAAGGAAUUGACGGGGGCCCGCACAAGCGGUGGAGCAUGUGGUUUAAUUCGAAGCUACGCGAAGAACCUUACCAGGUCUUGACAUCUUGCGCCAACCCUAGAGAUAGGGCGUUUCCUUCGGGAACGCAAUGACAGGUGGUGCAUGGUCGUCGUCAGCUCCUGUCCUGAAAAUGUUGGGGUUAAGUCCCG
rnacentral:rRNA from 1 species